rnacentral:rRNA from 1 species
AGAGUUUGAUCCUGGCUCAGGAUGAACGCUAGCGACAGCCUUAACACAUGCAAGUCGAGGGGCAGCACAUGAGUAGCAAUACGAUGGUGGCGACCGGCGCACGGGUGAGUAACACGUAUGCAACCUACCUUCUACCAGGGGAUAACCCGUUGAAAGACGGACUAAUACCCUAUAAUACAGGGGCUCCGCAUGGAGAUAUUUGUUAAAGAUUCAUCAGUAGAAGAUGGGCAUGCGCAUGAUUAGCUAGUUGGCGGGGUAACGGCCCACCAAGGCAUCGAUCAUUAGGGGUUCUGAGAGGAAGGUCCCCCACACUGGUACUGAGACACGGACCAGACUCCUACGGGAGGCAGCAGUGAGGAAUAUUGGUCAAUGGGCGAGAGCCUGAACCAGCCAAGUCGCGUGAAGGAAGACUGUCCUAUGGAUUGUAAACUUCUUUUGUACGGGAAUAAAGUGGGCUACGUGUAGCCUUUUGUAUGUACCGUACGAAUAAGGAUCCGGCUUACUCCGUGCCAGCAGCCGCGGUAAUAC